GCCAGACUCCUACGGGAGGCAGCAGUGGGGGAUAUUGCACAAUGGGGGGAACCCUGAUGCAGCGACGCCGCGUGGGCGAUGGAGCGCCUCGGCGCGUAAAGCCCUCUCAGCAGGGAAGAAAAUGACGGUACCUGACUAAGAAGCCCCGGCUAACUACGUGCCAGCAGCCGCGGUAAUACGUAGGGGGCAAGCGUUAUCCGGAUUUACUGGGUGUAAAGGGAGCGUAGACGGCUGUGCAAGCCAGAUGUGAAAGCCUGGGGCUCAACCCCGGGACUGCCCUUGGAACUGCACGGCUGGAGUGCGGGAGGGGCAGGCGGAAUUCCUGGUGUAGCGGUGAAAUGCGUAGAUAUCAGGAGGAACACCGGCGGCGAAGGCGGCCUGCUGGACCGCGACUGACGUUGAGGCUCGAAAGCGUGGGGAGCGAACAGGAUUAGAUACCCGAGUAU
rnacentral:rRNA from 1 species